rnacentral:pre_miRNA from 1 species
ACAAAAAUAGGGAUGUCGGUCUAUCGAGCAAUUAAAUCCGCUCGUGGGAAGAUCUUCCCCUGUUUGA